rnacentral:lncRNA from 1 species
UACUCCACGUUCUUUACUUUGGACCUCUGGCUGAAGGAGUAUUCUCUGGCUAAGGUGGCUCAGUUGGUAAAGAAUCCGCCUGCAAUGCAGGAGACCCCAGUUCAAUUCUUGGGUCAGGAAGAUCCACUGGAGAAGGGAUAGGCUACCCACUCCAGUAUUCUUGGGCUUCCCUUGUGGCUCAGCUGGUAGAGAAUCUGCCUGCAAUGCAAGAGGCCUGGGUUUGAUCCCUGGGUUGGGAAGAUCCCCUGGAGAAGGGAAAGGCUCCCCACUCCAGUGUUCUGGCCUGGAGAACUGCAUGGACGGUAUAGUCCAUGGGGUCGCAAAGAGUCUGACACAACUGAGCAACUUUCACUUUCACUUUCUUUUUCAAGGUACUCUUGGUAGUGGUUGCAAAGGGAAAAGGACAUGGUGGAGCUCCGAGAGCCUCUGCUUGGAAGUGAUGUCUAUCGUGUCUGCCUACAUUUCAUUGGCCAAAGCAAGUCACAUGGUCGCUCAGGAGUUGAACAGAGCUGAUGGGAAGCCUGUUUGAAAGGCUGUCCUGUGACCUAAAGACUGCUUUCUGCUGCAGAUGGCCAGAUGGGGCUACUAGCUGUCACUUACCUAGAGCUCCUUUUCCAAUAUCCAUCUACUUGCUGGGAUCUGAGGCUACUUAUUCACAUCAUCUCCUCCCGCACGGUUCAUUUGCUUGAAUGGACCGCAAUGAAUAAGACUGCUUGACUGGCUAGAAAUGGAUCUCACUGAAGAUGGUUUGGGGCUGGUCAUGGGCAAGUCCACAGAUACCAUGGUAUCACAAUGUUAGAAAGACAAGUAGUAUGAUGACUGAGCAUAGACCCUGGUGUCACACAGAUCUAGGUGUGAAUCAUGCAUACCUCACUUAGGAGCUAUGCAAACUUGAUUGAGUAACUUCUCUGCCCUUCAAAUUAUCUUUCCAUACAAUAAACGAAAUUCCACAACAGAUUUAGUACUUACC